rnacentral:rRNA from 1 species
GACGAACGCUGGCGGCGUGCUUAACACAUGCAAGUCGGACGGACAGGCCCUGCUUUUGUGGGGUGCUCGAGUGGCGAACGGGUGAGUAACACGUGAGUAACCUGCCCUUGACUUUGGGAUAACUUCAGGAAACUGGGGCUAAUACCGGAUAGGAGCUCCUGCUGCAUGGUGGGGGUUGGAAAGUUUCGGCGGUUGGGGAUGGACUCGCGGCUCAUCAGCUUGUUGGUGGGGUAGUGGCUUACAAAGGCUUCGACGGAUAGCCGGCCUGAGAGGGUGACCUGCAACAUUGAGACCGGGAUACGACCCAGACUCCUACCGGAGGCAGCAGUGGGGAAUAUUACACAAUGGGCGGAAGCCUGAUGCAGCAACGCCGCGUGCGGGAUGACGGCCUUCGGGUUGUAAACCGCUUUCGCCUGUGACGAAGCGUGAGUGACGGUAAUGGGUAAAGAAGCACCGGCUAACUACGUG